rnacentral:sRNA from 1 species
GCCGGACACGUUGGCGCAUGCCUGUAAUCCCAGUAGCUUGGGAGGCUGAGACAGGAGGAUCUAGAGUUCGAAGCCAGCCUCAGCAACAGCAAGGUGCUAUUCAACUCAGUGAGACCCUGUCUCUA